UGAUUAAACCCGGAAGUAAUGAGACUUUGAAACUAAGGAAGGAUUUAGCAAAGAUUUGUUGAUAUCAAUCAAGUUAUGACCGCCCUAAAAUCAUAUAUUUGUACCAUUAACAUUUUAAAACGAGCCAGUUUUAACUGUCACAAUCUAGUACUAGCUCACGUUUACCUGAACAACCAUCGGUACCAGUAUCACUUAAAGAAGGUAACGUUAAAAUGGAAAAUAUAGUAGUGGCACCGAAAGGGGUAGAACAACUUUUAAUAGGAUUAAAUGCAACUAAAGCAAUUGGACCUGAUUCGUUACAUCCAAAGUGCUAAAAGAGCUCGGCCCAAGCAUUGCAGACAUGCUGGCACAUCUAUUUCAACAAUCAGUUAAUGUAGGUAAAAUACCUGAAGACUGGAAAAUGGCAAAUAUAUGCCCAUUAUAUAAAAAGAAGGAUAAAUUUUUACCUAGUAACUAUCGCCCUGUAUCAUUGACUUGUAUCUGUUGUAAAGUGCUAGAGCACAUUAUUUGUUCAAACUUGAUGAAACAUUUUGAAGCCCAUAAUAUACUCAAUAAUAGGCAGCAUGCAUUUAGGAAGCAUCACAGCUGUGAAACACAACUAGCAACAGUGAUUAAUGACUGGGCAUAUUCAGUAGACAGGAACAAACAAGUGGAUAUUUUUAUUCUUGAUUUUGAAAAAGUGUUCGAUACCGUACCACACGAACUUCUAAAAUCCAAAAUGCAUGAAUACGGUGUAAGAUCCAAUAUUUUAAACUGCAUUGACUCAUUUUUAGUAAAAUCGCAGUCAGUGUGUAAAAGUCAACAGUGAAUCAGCCAACGUAUCAUCAGUACUAUCAGGAGUACCACAGGGAACUGUGUUAGGACCUAUCUUAUUUUUUUAUACAUAUUAAUGACAUCUCUGAUAAUAUUACAUCAAAUAUCAGGUUAUUCGCAGAUGAUUGUGUAUGUUAUCGGGAAAUACUAACGGACAAUGACUGCGUAGAAUUACAAAACGACAUUGAUAAAUUAGGAGAGUGGGCAACCGCAUGGGGAAUGAGAUUUCAACCAGUGAAAUGUAAUAUGAUGUCCCUGUCUAGAAAAAUGUCAGUCACAAAAUAUCAAUACAUGUACACCCUUAAAAUACUCCUCUGGAAUUACUGAAGUCAAUUAAAUACUUGGGGGUUAAUAUAACAUGUGACCUUACUUGGAAUAAACAUAUUGGAGAAACGUGUAAUAAGGCUUACAGAAUAUUGGAAUUAUUAAGACGGAAUCUAUAGGUUUGUCAUCAAGAUGUCAAACUGCAAGCGUACAAAGGUUUAAUAAGACCAGUUUUAGAAUAUUCAAGUUCAGUUUGGGACCCACAUCAACAAUAUCUACAAGAAAAUAUUGAAGCGGUACAAAAACGAUCAGCAAGAUUUGUCACAUCAAAUUACAACUUUGACCCAGGAAGCAUGACUGGAAUUUUAAACGAUUUAAAGUUAAAACCUCUAAAGGAAAGAAGGAAACAGAGCCGUCUUAUUUUACUUUGCAAUGGUUUAAAUAACACCGCGUCAGUACCAGUGGAUCAUCUAGUUAAACCUAUACGUGUUACUAAGAACAAACAUGAGGAACAUUUUAACCUUAUAUAUGUCAGGACAGACGUUUAUAAGUACAGCUUCAUAUCUAACACACUACGCGAUUGGAAUUCACUACCACGUGAUCUCAUUCAGAGAUACAGGACUUCAGAAAAAAACAGUGAAUUCAUUUAUCAGAUGUAUUAAAAAGUUGGAUUAAUUAUAAGCUCCAAACACUUGGCACAGGCGCGGUGAGAAAACGUCGAUCAGAUGUGUCACCGUACAACAUCAGGGUUAAGAUCCAGACAUAAGCAGUGUAGCUAAGAUUACAAACAUGUGUACCAAAUUGUGCUAUCAAUCAGUGUUUUAAGUGUAAGUGGAUCAUAAAUUUCUUUCAUAAUUUCAUCCAUACUAAUGAUCUUGCCGUAUAUUUGGAGAAACAGGAACAUUAUUCAGAAAAAAGGUACAAAGUCAUUUAUAUUAUAUAUGGAGGAUAUUUGUCGUGCCAAACAUGUUGGAUUAAAUUUGCUCAGGUUAUUAGUUACAUCAGUUGUAAAUUUCUUACAAUUUAUAUUAACUUCUCUCAAUGUUAACUUUCCGGAUUUCUGAGCAUGUACAUGUGUUGUGAACGUCGUGGUAAAAUUUCACGAGGGUAGGAAUAUGACACUCUACCCACAUGAAAUGUUAGUGCAUCCAAUGAGUAGUUGCUUAUUCAAAGAUAAACUUCUAAUCUUAAAACAUACUCUACAACUACAAGCGACAUGAAGUAAUGUCAGUUUUUAGUUACUGAAUAUACACAGUAUUAUGAAAUCGGCUUAUAAACUAAAAGAAAUUUUUUUGUUAUGUUUCAGACAGUCCACCAUGCACUCUUGAUGUUGAAUACCAUUAUCCUUGAGAUUUUGCUCAGCAGGUGCAUUAUCCACAUCAUUUACAACAAGUUGGACCAAUUUAUUUCCGUACCCUAAGGAAGCGCCAUGUGUUUGGUGUAUGUGCAGAAGGAUCAGGCAAACAGACUUUUAUUUUAUUGAUGAAAUUCAGUGCACUGGGAAAGGAGUGGAAGGUGUGGUGUCUAUGGCUCAUCAUUAUUUGCAGUUCUAUGGCAUAGGAGAAAAACAUGCACAGAUACGUAUACAUUUCCAUAAUGCAGCUGGGCAGAACAAAAACAACUAUGUCAUUUGGUAUGCAGUUAUGGAGCACUUUAAUAGGACUACAUGAGACUGUUGCAUUGAGUAUUUUGAUGACAGAGCACAGGAAAUUCAACCCAGAUUAGCAUUUUGAUGUAUGGAAAGUGAAGUGGAGAGAUUCUGACGCAUACACUAUGACCCAAAUGGCUGACACUGUGAGACAGUCAUCAAAAGGGGGUCACAAUGUUCCGAAAGUAGUUGAUAAUCCUGAAACACCUGUUGUUUUUUACAGCUUGAGGCAAUUUCUUGAACAGUAUUUUAAACCAGUUAAACAGUUAUCUAAAUACCAACAUUUCUUUGUCAGCUCAGUUAAACCGGGUGUUGUAUGUUGCAAGGACUAUUUUAAUUCUGAAGAAGUUAAAGUAACUAUACUGAAGCAAGUGUCCGAUAAAAAUGCUAUGCUUGUAGUAAAAUCUUUUUCAGGUUUGGCCCGUCAGUGGUAUUUGUCUUAAAAUUUUUGAGAUUGCUUUUUAACACACUGUUUUGAUUUUCUAUCCAUAUUAUUCAGUUUUUUUUCAAGUCCAUUUAUUUUGCAGAUGUCGAGCAUAGAAUGAUAUACUAUUAAUGCUGUGGAAAUGUUGAAAUAUUUUAUAGUUGUAUAGUUGCUAGGCAACAGAACAUAGGUUGUAAAUUUUUUCUGGAUAUUGUUUUGCUUUAAUUCUUGUUAGAUUCUGAAUACUUUUUUAUAUGAAAAUACUAUGUUGUUGAGGGUUUUUACAAAGAUGAUUAAACCAUCAUAACUGUGAUUCGAAGUCACUGUGAAAUUCCGUUUGCAAAUGCAAUUUUAAGCAAUGUUUUUUUUUUUUUUUUUUUGGUUUUUGUUUUGUUAAAGAAAAGUUAUUUUGCCUUCAAAAUGCCUUCUUAUUUUAAAUAGAAAUCUUCAAGUCUGCUUCCUGAUACAUUGUUUAGAUUUUGGAUGCAGAUUAUUUCAUAUUACAAAACAUUUUUAUCAUCAUUCAAGGUUAGACAGCUAUGUAACAACCAGAAGAGAUGAAAUAUUCUCUGGUUGCUAGGCAACAGGAAGAAUCAUUAAAGUUAUAGACAUUUUUAAUGAUAGUUCUUUGGUUAAUAGUUCUUUGCUUCAAUGCAUAUUUUACAACCAAAUUUUUAACAGCACACCUUCGUUUUAAAUUAAUGUCAAUAUGCUAGCAAUAUUCUGUAGGGAAUUGAAAUUGAAGUAAAAUUUUGAAAGGGACUUUCCUGUCAGAUGUCUGUAUAUUUUCAAAAGUUUUCAAUAGAAUGACUUGAAUUUUUCAAGACUGUCUGUUUAUAAGUUUUGUUUACAUUUUCAUUUGAUCUUUAAAUGAAUGCAAAUGUUUAAGUCAACUUAUAAGUCAUAAAACCUACAAAAAAACAUGGAAAUUGUGAAAAAUUCCAUUGUUGCUACAUGUAAGCAACAGAAAUGUUGAGGUCGCUGUUUUGUAACUAUAUUUGCGCUUUAUUAUCAUAGUUUUAUUUCAUAUAGCCAUAUUUCCGUAUUAUAUUAGCCAUAAGAUGGUAGAGGAUUAUCCCAGGUAUAUCAAUUCAUCACGGUAUAACCACAGUCCCUGUUUGCAGAUUAAAUAUUUUGCACAUUGUUUAGGUAUUAAAUAUUUUUUUCUUCAAAACCACUUUAUAUAUUGCCCAGAAAAUUUCAUGACUGUUUAGAUAGAUAAUGUUAUUACCCAUUUUGAAAUAAAAUUUCAUUUGUGACAUAAUUACACUUAAAUUAUUGUCAUGUAUAGCUUAAAAAGUAAGAAAUUUAAAAUGGAAUAUUUUCUGGUUGCUAGGCAUCCGAAAAGAAAACGUUUUUGACAUUAGAUAAAGAAACUGAACACAGUAAAUUGCUUCUGUAUUUUAUUUUCUAUUUACAAAACUGUAUUUCAUAUACUUACCUGAAGGCAAGAAAAAUGCCUCCAAAUCGGUACAGAUUGGAACAUAUCUAAAAAUGGUUGUCAACAUAAAAUUCAAUGUAACUUCACCAUUUUUUGAGAUUUGACCCUCAAAUUUUCAGGAAUUUCUAACGAAAUGUCAUAGAAUUCAGAAAU